UACUCUCAUACUCUCUGAUCCUUUGGAUUCAGCGAGUGGUGGACUUGGGUGUUUGCUGCUUUCCUUGUGGCUCACCUCAAAUGUGUUAGUGCACCUCUUGGUUGGACAUAGUACGGCGUGAUAAGUGUCUUCGCCGGCACCUCGCAAGAGGGUGGCUGAUCGGGAGCUCUGUGCUUUCAAACCGUCAUUCGACAAUCACUGACAAC
rnacentral:misc_RNA from 1 species